AAAAAAAAUUUAGUCUCAAUCUACAUGGGUUCCCACCUGAAAUCUGAAGUCAGUGAGCCACCGUUGGUGGAAAAGUAUGGCUCCCCUAGUUUCUACGGCAAUCCUAACGCCAGGCUCCGAGGAAGAGGUGGGACCGCCACCGUGCGCUCACGUCUGCGGGUAGCGCCUGGAAGGGAUCCAAUGAACAUAUUUCCCUAUAGUUGAGCUAUAGGACUCCUAUUGGCCAAUAGAGAAAAAUGUAAGGAACUCUAGGCUCUGUGUUUCUGCCUUCACCCUGAGAACAUCACACCCAGGCCAGCAGUCUCCCAGGAGAACAGGAGAUUCACAGAGCAGAACCCACUUCAUUGUCGCGGACAAGGCGUGGAAGUGGACAAGGAGCAUGGCCAGUGCUAGGUCUUCGCACAUUUAUGGGACCCGCUAAUGGGGAUAAUGCCAGGAAUAGUCAAGGUUCUCAUUCAUCGCGUCACCCGGAGUGGAUGUGGAGUCUAAAUUCUCCUCUCGGCGGGGGCACCUGGAGGACGCGGAUGCCAUGACCAGAAUCACUUCCUCCCUCCCUCCCCAGGCCCUGCAGAGAGGCGGGCAGAAGUGCGCAGGUGCGGGGGGAACGGCGGUGAGAAGCUGGUGGGGUUGGAGCUGAGCGGAGAAGACUCGCGGCCAACACUGCAGCUCCUGAGGCCGACCCUCUCCCAGGGUGACCGUGUUCCCAACUGUGAAACGAUCCAGACCACUGGAGACCAGGUGGAGACCGGAUCCCGGGAUGCCCGGCCCAUUGCUUCUCCUCCAUUUGCCAAACCCAGCCUCCACACUUCCUGCUGGCUGCCCAGGGCGCUGACCUACAGGACAUCGACAGGCUCCACCUUCUGAAGUCUCAGUUUGAGAACAGAGGAGAGUGAGGUCAGAGUGUCCAUUCUCUAGGCUGUCUCCUCGCCGAGUCACCUUGAGCUAGCUGUGUCCCUGGGCUGAAGGGCAUUGCUCCUGGCAGGGUGGUGACUCCCCAGGACUCACUCUGCUGAAUUCCAGUAACCCUUCCUGUCCCUGGCCUCUGCAUAGUAAGAAUUCAGCUGCUGCUGACUCCAGCUUGCUGUGCUAUUCUCCACCUACUUCUUUGCAGUCAAAUCCUUGAACUCCCCUAUUUUAAGUUUGCCACCUGCUU
rnacentral:lncRNA from 1 species